rnacentral:rRNA from 1 species
CCUACGGGUGACAGCAGUGGGGAAUAUUGCGCAAUGGGCGAAAGCCUGACGCAGCGACGCCGCGUGAGGGCUGAAGGUCUUCGGAUCGUAAAACUCUGUCAGCAGGGAAGAACGGUCACUGUGCUAAUCAUCAGUGAAUUGACGGUACCUACACAGGAAGCACCGGCUAACUCCGUGCCAGCAGCCGCGGUAAUACGGAGGGUGCGAGCGUUAAUCGGAGUUACUGGGCGUAAAGCGCUCGUAGGAGGUAUGUCAAGUCAAGUGUGAAAUGCCCGCGCUCAACGUGGGAGCUGCAGUUGAAACUGGCAAACUUGAGUGUGUGAGAGGAUAGUGGAAUUCCAGGUGUAGGAGUGAAAGGCGUAGAUAUCUGGAGGAACAUCAGUGGCGAAGGCGGCUAUCUGGCCCGUAACUGACGCUGAGGCGCGAAAGCGUGGGUAGCAAACAGGAUUAGAUACCCGAGUAGUC